rnacentral:rRNA from 1 species
AGAGUUUGAUCAUGGCUCAGAACGUACGCUGGCGGCACGCCUAACACAUGCAAGUCGAACGCAGUAGCAAUACUGAGUGGCAAACGGGUGAGUAUAAUGUGGGAAUCUGCCUUUUGGUUUGGAAUAACACGGGGAAACUUGUGCUAAUACCGAAUAAGCCCUUACGGGGAAAGUUUUAAUGCCGAAAGAUGAGCCCGCACUUGAUUAGCUAGUUGGUAAGGUAAAAGCUUACCAAGGCAAUGAUCAAUAGCUGUUCUUAGAGGAAGACCAGCCACAUUGGGACUGAGACACGGCCCAGACUCCUACGGGAGGCAGCAGUGGGGAAUCUUGCACAAUGGGGGAAACCCUGAUGCAGCGAUGCCGCGUGAGUGAAGAAGGCCUUUGGGUUGUAAAACUCUUUCGUCGGGGAAGAAAAUGACUGUACCCGAAUAAGAAGGUCCGGCUAACUUCGUGCCAGCAGCCGCGGUAAUACGAAGGGACCUAGCGUAGUUCGGAAUUACUGGGCUUAAAGAGCUCGUAGGUGGUUAAAAAAGUUGAUGGUGAAAUCCCAAGGCUCAACCUUGGAACUGCCAUCAAAACUUUUUAGCUAGAGUGUGAUAGAGGUAAGUGGAAUUUCUAGUGUAGAGGUGAAAUUCGUAGAUAUUAGAAAGAACACCAAAUGCGAAGGCAACUUACUGGGUCACUACUGACACUGAGGAGCGAAAGCAUGGGUAGCGAAGAGGAUUAGAUACCCUCGUAGUCCAUGCCGUAAACGAUGUGUGCUAGACGUUGGAAAUAUAUUUUUCAGUGUCGCAGCGAAAGCGUUAAGCACACCGCCUGGGGAGUACGACCGCAAGGUUAAAACUCAAAUGAAUUGACGGGGACCCGCACAAGCAGUGGAGCAUGUGGUUUAAUUCGAAGAUACGCGCAGAACCUUACCAACACUUGACAUGUUCGUCGCGAGCCUAAGAGAUUAGGCUUUUCAGUUCGGCUGGACGAAACACAGGUGCUGCGUGGCUGUCGACAGCUCGUGUCGUGAGAUGUUGGGUUAAGUCCCGCAACGAGCGCAACCCCUAUCUUUAGUUGCCACCAUUAAGUUGGGCACUUUAAAGAGACUGCCAGUGAUAAGCUGGAGGAAGGCGGGGAUGACGUCAAGUCCUCAUGGCCCUUAUGUGUUGGGCUACACACGUGCUACAAUGGCACUUACAAUGGGAAGCAAAGAGGCGACUCUAAGCCAAUCCCUAAAAUGUGCCUCAGUUCGGAUUGUACUCUGUAACUCGAGUGCAUGAAGCUGGAAUUGCUAGUAAUCGCGGAUCAGCGCGCCGCGGUGAAUACGUUCCCGGGUCUUGUACACACCGCCCGUCACACCAUGGAAGUUGGUUACACCUUAAGGCAAAGCUUAUACCUUUGACUACGGUACGAUCAGCAACUGGGGUGAAGUCGUAACAAGGUA